ensembl:ncRNA F40E10.8 ncRNA
GUAAAUAUCAAUGGCAAGGGACAGUGGGGGUGAAAAUAAAGGAGAGAGGAGUAAAAGUUGUUGAAUACCUUCUUUCCUUCCUUGAUUCUAUUCAUUCGUUUCAACCAACAAUGAAUUGGAAGUUUGUUCUUGAACAAUUCAAUCUAUUGUAUUGAAUUUGUUGUACAAUAGAAGUCGCAAAAAUUGAAUACUAACAUUACAUUGGGCGCCUAUUUAU